rnacentral:lncRNA from 1 species
AAAGUUAAGCGUGCUUAGCUAGGAGUAAUUCUAUGUUGGAUGACCACCUGGUAAUUUUUUUAGGAUACAUAUGAGUGAGGACAAAGCAUGCUGAAAGGACUCGUGUUGGUUUGUGAGGAGAAGUUUCACUCUAAUAAGCCUUAAAGAAUAGUAAGGAUGAGGUUGCGAGGUUGCUUGGGAUGUAGGAGAAUGUCGGAGAUCUAAAUUCCAAAUUCUAGUUUGAAUCCUAGGCCUAGGGCGUUACAAAGAGAUUAGAUUAGAACCGAGUAAAGCAAUGAAUUCAGAGGUUGAACGUCGAUUAGAAGUAUCACUGGCCUAAACAGAGUCAUAAAAGGUCUGUAGAAAGAAUGACGUUUGUGGAAAUUUAUUCUAAGGGUUGGAGUACCACAUAGAUAUUUAAGGAUGCGCGUGUUUGACUGCCAAGAAGUGAAUUAUAGUUGGUUUAUGCAUGAAUUGACUGACACGAUAAUAUACCGAGAAUGCAACAUCAGGAUGAGUAAAGGUAAGGUAUUGCAAGGAACCAACUAGUCUGCUAUAUAAGGAUAGAUCAAUAAAUGAUGGUGCAAUGGUGUAAAGAUCAAGAGAAGUAGACAUUGGCGUGACAGGAGGUUUUUCAAAGGUCAUUCCCGAUGUAUGAAGAAGGUCAUUGAGAUAUUUGACUUGGUUAAUGAAAAUUCCAUUACUGGAGGAAUGUAUUUCAAGACCAAGAAAGUACUUUAAACGACCAAGAUCAAAUAUUUUUAAUUCAAAAGGGCCAAUUGGUUUUUUAGAAGAGAUAUAUAUGAAGAAUGAGGACCAAUGAUAAUGAUGUCAUCUACAUACAAAAGUAAGUAAAGUGUGAGAAGAUUUGACUAAUGAAAUGAAUAAUGAGGUAUCAACCGCAAAAGCAACAAAACCCAUAGUAAAUAAAUACUUAAGAUGUAAAGUGUUCAAACCAAGCGCGAGGGGCUUGUUUGAGGCCAUAAAGUCUUUUGUAGAGAAGACUCACAUGAUUUGGAUAUGUGUUAUCCUGAAAGCUAGAAGCAUGUAAACUGUUUCUUGGAGAAUAUCAUGUAGAAAUGCAUUUUUAAAAUCUAAGUGGGUCAAGGACUAACUGUAUUGAGCAGCAAGAGCAAGAAUAAUUCGUAUGGUGGGUUUCUUGACUACAAGACAAAAAGUUUAUUUAAAAUAAAAAAAUUAUACCUGAUGAUAACCUUUAGCAACUAGUCGCGCUUCACAACGAGCAAUAAAGCCAUUAAGAUUAUAUUUUAUGUGGAAAACCCAUUUAGAACGAACAUCAUUCAUAGAUGGAAGUCGAGGUACUAAGGACUAAGUACCCUGUGCUAGGAAAGUAUUGAUUCCUCACACAUUGCAGUUCGCCAUUCAAGAUACUUGAAGGCUUCAGUGUAUGAUGUGGGAGUCAGGAGAGCAGUUAUGAUAUGGAAUGCCUUUGGGUUUAAAAAUACUUUAUUUUGAUUGAGUUUUCAUAGCAUGAGUGUUGGUUGCAGCAACAUCUAUCUCAUUUCCUAUAUCGACUGUAGAUAAAACAUGUAAAGACUGACAAGUGGUAACAUCUAGUGUGAACAAGGAUUUUUUCACUUUCUAAAGAGACAAAUGCAACAACAAGCUUGUCAACGAGGGCUUUAAUGCGAGAGGUAUAUUGUUCAAUGGUUUCAGAAGGGUUUUUUUUUUAUGGAAUGAAGUGCAGAUCAUAAGUUAAGGAUGUUGGAUAUGGUAUUGGAGGAGUAUCUCGUUUUUCUAGAGAAAGCCACAAAUCUUUGGAGGAGACUAAGCCGACAACAUGGACAAGGGAAGAGGAUGACAAAGUAGCGUUUAUUAAAGAAAUGAGAGCUUGGUCACAAGAAAGCCCUUAGAGAUAAUUAGGAUUGAUUCCACAAGUGGUUCCAGCAGUUGGUGAUGGUAGAUGUUUUGGAGGAUAGGGAAGAUAAUCAUCAAUAUGACAAAAAGGGAAUGAGCUUUGAGUAUGAAGGAGACUUGAUACUCCUAGAGUAUAUAAUUACUAGUGUCGAAACGAAUAGGCACGAGAUUGCAAAUAAUGUUGGACAACAAGAAGAGAGUGGAGGUGGGAAGAGAUGGGUUUCCUUAAGGUAAGCAUUAGUGUGGAAAUGGAACAAGAUUAGGAACGGGAUGUGGCCAUUUGAAGAAGUAAGGUAUGUAAACAAAAUUAAUUUGAAGAUUCCUAUGAUACCAUUUAAAACUCUAAUUGACAAACGUAAUUUGUAUUUCUCAUUGAUAUGUAUGAUAGAACUAAGUCAUGCACAGCGGAAAAAGAAUCGAAUUUCUACCCUAAUUGCCACAAUUAACAUGUAACCAUAAACUAAUUAAAUUAGGGUUUUAGGAAAUAUUACCUUUGAAGCUUUCAAAAGGUUUGAUAUCUUCUUACCAAUUCUAACCGAGACCACCACUAGUACUCAACUGCUAUCCUCUAGACAAAGAACCGGGUUGUGGGACCCAAUUUUGGUGUAGAAAGUAAUGGAGAUAAAAUGAGAUUGGAAGGUUUUUUUUUUUUUUCUUUUGUUGAGAUGAUGAAAAUGAUAAAAGAGGCAAAAGUUCUUCAACAUUUGAAAACACCUCUAUUUAUAGCCUAAUUACAUGCAAAAAUGCAUGCAAUUCAUUUGCCAAAUCUCAACACCUAAUGUUCCACUAACAAUUAGUGGAACUUAGUGGGCUAGGUGUCUAUAUCUCAUAUAGCCACAUAUCCCACUAAGAGUUAGUGGGAUU